rnacentral:misc_RNA from 1 species
CCCCUCAUCCGUCUAGCGCCAGACGAUGGUACCACCGGUGUUUUCCUAUUAUCUGCUCCUUUUUGCCUUGUUGCUAUGCUUCUUACCUCUUUUCUGCGAUGGCCGUCCUCGCGGCCGUUGUGUUUGUGCCUGCGCCCCUUUCCCCCUCUCUUUUUCUUGAUUCGCGUCUUCAGGUCCGCCUUCUGCGACUCGCCUACGGCUUUUUUUUUGCUGCUCAGCUCUCCACCGCUGCCGCCCGUCGCCUCUCACGCUGCGCUCCAUGUGUCGCUUCUUGGUUCUCUCGUUCGCCGAGCUGCGAUGACCUCCUCGAUCUGCACAUCCACAAAAACCCUCGCAGGCAUGCAAAGCCUUUCCUCCUAUCUUUCCUCUCUCUUGGCUUGGUAUGAUGUUGGCUUUGUGGGAAGGCUCAGCCGGCACGAGUGAUUUUGUGCUCUCUCUGCCUUCUAAUGCAGGCGGCACACGUAUCGGCACAGGUGAUGCACCGCAUUAGCUUGCUUUCUUCAGUGGCCACCUCUGUAUCCACGAAAUGGUGGAGCCGUGGCGGUGUGAGGAUGGCGCUGCCUCUGCAUGUGCGUGUGUGUGUGUGUGCUCCAUAUCACGAUGUGGCUCUUGUCUCUGCCCGCACCCCAUUUGAAAAGGUGAGCGUUUGCCGCUUUGGCUGCAGGCGCCAUGUCUUCUUCGCACCGACUUCACAACGCUCUUCACCGUGCACUGUAGAAGAGGCAGAAGGGAAAGAGGAAGUGUGGAGCACCAACCGCCACGGCGUCCCUCUCCCCUUCCCGCCGCUCUACACAGGGCUCACACUUGAUGCCACUCGAACCAGGGCAGGUGUAUUGUUUUUGUCUUGUUUUUUUUUUGUGUUCGUGUUUAGCGCCUCUUUUACGUCAACCCCCCCCCCCCACCACCACCACCUGUGCCCUCCGUCUCUGCCAUCUCCCUCCUCUUCACCCACACGUCCUCCUCGUUUUGUGUUUUUGCUCGCUUGCUUCUACUGAACAUAUCUUUAUGCCCCCUUUUUCGUGGUUCUCCGAACAUAUAUACUUGCUCGGAAGUGCGUGCGACAUAUCCGCUGGCAGUGCUGUGGAUGCCUCUGCGCGUCCAUGUGCAAAGGCGUCUCUUUGUGUGUUGCCUCUCCACCUUCUUUUUCCUUUGGGUUUCUUGUCUUCCACGCGAAAUGAUGGGUCCCUCCCCUCCCUCCUCCCCUCACCUCUUUGUUUCUUGUCCCACUCAAGCACACUCCUUUUAUGUAUUUCCUUUCCUCUCUAAUGCACCGCUUCCUUGUAGUGUCCACCUUCCUUUGCUAUCUUGCAAGCAUGUCUGCCGUGUUGGUUCUUGCCUUCUAGCUUCCUCCCAUUACCGCGCUCGCUUUCUUCCUUCUCCCACCCCCCUCUCUCUCUCUUUGUGUGGUGGUGGCUCCCCCCUUCUCCUCCUCCUUUAUGUGUGUAUGCGUUUUUUUUUUUAGCAUGGUGAAAUCUUUUUGUUUGUUGUACGCCUUCGCAGGGGUGCACACACACACACAUACAUCCGACCUUUUUGCUUUUCUUUCUGUAUCCGUCUCUUGACAUGGCACCUGAUAUCCCACAGCGUAGUGGAAGAUACAGG